AGAAAAAUCAAAAUAUCACUUGCUGUAUCCCCAACAAGAUACUCUGCAUAAAUUAUAGGUUGAUGUGUGGUUCAUUGAUACCUGUUUUCUACUUGAUAAAGGUGCAUUGCAACACCAAGACCAAAAGUUGGGUGGAUACGGAGCAUACAAACUGAUCCAUUGGAAUGCAAAAUUAUAACAUACAGAUUUAUGCAAGAGGGAUGACUGCAAAGUGCGUUGCGUGAGUAGUGUAAGAAGCUGAAAAUUGCUGCUGUUGUAGCUGUCAUAGACAUAGGACCUCGGACUUGAUUAUGAUUCCAUUGUGGUAAGCGCCUCUAUCAAUCACAGGGAGAUCAAGUCCUUGCCUAAAGAUGUGCAUAUAAAGAUACCCCAUACAGCAGCAUGCCCUGAAGGAGCUUAAUGGGCAUCCGCUCCAUUUCCAGGCAGAGCUGCAGGACUCUUCAUGUAUAAAUAAAUAACCUGGUGUAAGACAGAUUAUGUUCCUCGGAUAUCAAUCACUGGUAAAUAUUGUGUUUCUACUCAUGAAGUAAGAAUAGUAAAUGGAAACUCAUGAAGAUUUCAGGUUGCCAUUAUAUUUACAGUCCUGGGCUCACUGCUGAGAAUUAUUGGAUGUCUUUGCCUCUGAAUAUGGGCUGAAAGCUUCAGUGGGAUACUCAUUCCUUGCUUGCCUCUCAGACUUUCAAAUCAACAUUAAUCUUGGUUCUUAUAACCCUACUUCUGAAUCACUGUAAAUAAUGCAAAAAGCUGCCAGAUCUUUGCCAGUUAGGCUCAGUAAGAAACAAACCCCCAAACACAACCUUUCCUGAUUCUUUAUCUGGCAAAUGGUUUGGGCCAAAGUGAGUAUUGUGUGAGUAUUGUGUGAUUACAGGGACUGAUUGCACUGGGGGAAAAAGGGAGAAAAUAUGACAAGAAAAGCUUUGGAGUGCCUUCUAGUAGAUGCAUGAUGGAAGGACAAUCGUUUCAUUCCCCUUCCUUCUAGCUGGCCAUUACCUCUUUUUCUGUCAGCAGUCAGACAUCCCCUAUUUUCAGCCGCAAGUAACACAUCCCUGUAUGUGCUGAUAUCAAGAGACAAGGUUGGUUCAACCCGGGAUUAUUGACAUCUUUCUGUGGCAGUGACUCCAGUUUCUUCACAGUCUGUUUGUGUGCUUCCCUCACCAGCCCCUCUUUUCCACUGACUGAAACAGAGGUGAGAGAUUGUUUACAACAUUCAGGAACUCUGUAUUGGAGACUGUUGGUAUUUUGAAAGAAACCGCAGUUGGGUGUUCUGAGCCUAAACUCUGAUAUUUUCCAAUAUAGAUACAGCUGCUGUUUCAUUGCUUAUGAAUUUUGGCAUAUUAAAAAAAAAUUCCAGUCAUGUUUCAAUCUUUUUUCUUAUUAUAUUCCAUUCUGUUUAUUUUUAGAGGAGAAAAAUAU